UGGGGAAUAUUGGGCAAUGGGCGCAAGCCUGACCCAGCAACGCCGCGUGAAGGAAGAAGGCUUUCGGGUUGUAAACUUCUUUUGUCAGGGAAGAUGAAGAGACGGUACCUGACGAAUAAGCCACGGCUAACUACGUGCCAGCAGCCGCGGUAAUACGUAGGUGGCAAGCGUUGUCCGGAUUUACUGGGUGUAAAGGGCGUGUAGGCGGGAGAGCAAGUCAGGCGUGAAAACUAUGGGCUUAACCCAUAGCCUGCGUUUGAAACUGUUUUUCUUGAGUACUGGAGAGGUUGACGGAAUUCCUUGUGUAGCGGUGAAAUGCGUAGAUAUAAGGAGGAACACCAGUGGCGAAGGCGGUCAACUGGACAGCAACUGACGCUGAGGCGCGAAAGCGUGGGGAGCAAACAGG
rnacentral:rRNA from 1 species